AUGGGGAAGGAGAGUAAAGAAGCGUGCAAGAAAGAGGCUUGUGCCAUUCAAGCUUGCCUCUCCAAGAACAACUUUCUCCCCCAAAAGUGCAUUAAAGUAAUUGAAUUGCUGGACUCAUGCUGCACAAGAUGUGAUUAUAACUCAACUCACUGUGCUUCCCUCUCCGGAUUAUUGAACCAAAAUUCUAAAUUACCAGAUACGGCCAACAAAUUGGACAAGUAG